CUACCCUUGACAUGUACGGAAGCCACGAGAGAUCGAGGCGUGCUCGAAAGAGAGCCGUAACACAGGUGCUGCAUGGCUGUCGUUAGCUCGUGUCGUGAGAUGUUGGGUUAAGUCCCGCAACGAGCGCAACCCUUGUCAUUAGUUGCUACGAAAGAGCACUCUAAUGAGACUGCCGGUGACAAACCGGAGGAAGGUGGGGAUGACGUCAAGUCCUCAUGGCCCUUAUGGGUAGGGCUUCACACGUCAUACAAUGGUACAUACAGAGGGCCGCCAACCCGCGAGGGGGAGCUAAUCCCAGAAAGUGUAUCGUAGUCCGGAUUGUAGUCUGCAACUCGACUACAUGAAGUUGGAAUCGCUAGUAAUCGCGGAUCAGCAUGUCGCGGUGAAUA
rnacentral:rRNA from 1 species